ACGGCGGCGCUUUGCUCCAAUCCUCCUGCCUUUUCCCAUUAACCGUCUUCUUCAAUUAUCAAUAGCACCACCACUAUUAUCUUCAAUUAGCACCACCAUCACCGCUCAACGAAUGGGUUAUAAAUUGAAUAUGGGUUUCGUGUCUCAUACACCCUGGAGGGAGGGAGAGGAAAUGAUUUUGAUAAUAAUCAGUAUGAGCGGAAUCGGAAAUGGGUUUUAUGUGAUGGUUUUGCUUACUUGUCUCGACAAGGACGAAGGCGGGAGGGGGCCUUUCUUUAAUGGUGGGUGGGAUGAAUUCAUACUGAUUGCAAGUCCCCAUCACAGUUGUAAAAUGCCCCGCAGUGAGGAAGCUGUCGAAGAACAGGAAUGGGUAGUGAGAUCUAAAGCAGACAGCAUUAGUUUUAAGAUUGUUAUUCAAGGGUUUGUUCUAAAUGAUCCAUUUCAAUGAAGAGGGCAGAAAGUGUCACAGUGUUAUAUGUGGUUUUGGGAAGCAGAAAGCUCGUAUGUAUACAUCGGGUUUAGCCAAAUAACACUGCUGAUAGGGGCUAGGCUUCCUUUCUCUGAAAACCUUUGGGACACUAUUAACACGUAUAACAUCAUCGGUAUCAUUUACAACAUGCUGGAGAGAAGUCUCAAUUGCAUGACUGGAUGAUUCAGCCUCAUCAUGAUCAACUUGGAAGCAAAUUCCAAAAUUAGUGUGUACAAGUUGAAGAAGUAAAUGGAAAGUUCAGUACAGAAGUAUAAUAGAGCUGCAUUCCUGUCAUCAAAAGAAUUUUAAUGGAUGGUUAAGAGCUUCAGUUAGAGAACUGUCCAAAUUAUUGCAACCAAAAUGUAUAUGCGUCUAAGCCGAUAGGGGCAGUUUGAAGUAUAUAUGAUUUCUGCUCAUCCCCUGAGUACGUUUCAAGCUGGCUGAAUUUCCACAUGCUCACAGAAAAUUAGAGACACAACAAGAUAUUUAUUCGCUGUAUCCUUCUUACAAGAUCAUAUUAUUCUCCUCCUGGUAGAGAGAAUAGACGUAAACAAAGUUCUGUUGUGGUAUGAAGGAAACAUCCUUUGUGAUUAGACCCCCUAAACUGCAACCUCAGAAAAAGUUGGGAAUGAUCAUGCUGUGAGCAUCCAAGAUUUUCAGGCGAAUUCUGUACAUGAAGAAUAAUGUUUCGUUGAAGACUUCAAGAGGCAAUUGCUAGAUGUGGAUCCAAGGAGUUGGAGAGUAAUCUUGCUGUCGGUAGAAUCAAGAUUUUGUCGAUUGAUUCGCUCAAGAGUGAAAUAACAUCUAAUUGGUGCUGCUACGACUUACAAAGUUCAUCAUUACGAUGAAACAGAAGGGACCCAAGUAAUUUGCCAGCGGAGAGCUAAUGCUACCACUUCAAUUGAUUUCUUAUUGAUUGUGAUAUGUGCAUCUGUGUACCAAGCAGUUAGAGUGGUUUUUAGGUAGUUACUACGGGUGGUUAUGGAGUCUGCCUAUAUAUAUUAUUGUGUAAGAACGUAAUGGUUAUCUAUGAAAAUGGUGAUAUUCUAGAGCAUGGCUCUGUAUCUGAUUCUUCUUCUCUGAUUCUGUGAUUCGUCUUUCUUCGCAUCUGAUAAUUCUUCCCUUUGCUUCGUCUAAUUUCACCCUGAUCGCUGAAUGAUAUGUUUGCACAUAUCAGAUUGAUGAGAGGUUUGUUCCUCAUACCAAUCUGGGUAUUGGGGGAGUAGCUGUUCUCAUUCAUUUUAAUGAAAGAGGGCAAAAGGGCUGCAGAGGAUCUGAGGAGGGAAGAGGCAUUGCCCAAUGAAACUAGGAGCCAUCCGAUCUUAUAAGAUUGAGCAGGAUAAAAAGGAGCUGGUGGCAAGGUCCUGGAACUCUAAGAUCCACUAAAAAGCUUAGCAGCGUUAUAUGUGGUUUUGGGAAGCAGAAAGUUCGUAUAUAUACAGUGGGUUUAGCCAAAUUACACUGCUGAUAGGGGACAGGCUUCCAUUCUCUGAAAACCUUUCGGACAGUAUUAACAUGAACAACGUCAUCGAUAUCAUUUACAACACGGUGGUGAGUAGUCUAAUUUGCAUUUCCUGAUGAUUCAGCCUCCUCAUGAUCAACUUGGAAGCAAAUUCCAAAAUUACUAUGUGAAGUUGAAGAAGAAAAUGGAAAUCUCAGUACAAAGCCGCAUUCCUGUCAUCAAAAGAAUUUGUAGGAAAUUAGAAGCUUCUUACAGAGGUGGAAGCAUCCUGUACCUGAUGUAUCUGAUACAUCCCUUAGUUUGUGUCGUCACAAAUCAAAUUUGUUAAAAUGUCAAAUGCAGAAAAAAGGCCGGAGGAGGCCCGGAACUGCAAACCGUGAACUGUUGUAACGAUUUCGUAGUCUUGAAAGGAUGUAGGAGGUUUUUUUCUUAGAAUUUGUAGCGAGGCGGUUCUCAAGCUUGCUGUAGUUUGGUAAAAGCAACAAAGUUUUGUGUUGGACAAGAUGGUAGUGGUUUUCUCUACAGAGGAUUCUUUGUUACAUUUGAUUGAUGUUAGAUGAUGAGAUGUCUGGAAUAGAAACAAAAUUUUAAACCUCUGUAUAUUAGCUUGACAUUCUCUGGGAAGGGUUUUAAAGGUGAGAGGAUUCAGGGCAAGAUUUCUUGUUCACAGACCAAGUGAACUGGUACUCUUUAACAGGUUCGGCAGUUUGGCACUGUGGCCGGUAUAAGUUAUAUAUGCUUGUGCUCUAACAUGAAUGUGGUAUGGACUAUGGAGCUCAGUAAACGUGUGCUGUACUUUUCAAAUUUAACCGAAGUGAAUGUUCGGUUAGAGAAGAUAAUGAAGUGUCUACGAAUUUAAAAUUUCAACACCCA